GUGGGGAAUAUUCCGCAAUGGACGAAAGUCUGACGGAGCAACGCCGCGUGAGUGAUGAAGGUUUUCGGGCUGUAAAGCUCUGUUGUUUGGGACGAAAGUGCCUGUUGCGAACAGUUACGGGUAUUGACGGUACUAAACGAGGAAGCCACGGCUAACUACGUGCCAGCAGCCGCGGUAAUACGUAGGUGGCAAGCGUUGUCCGGAAUUAUUGGGCGUAAAGAGCAUGUAGGCGGGAACCUAAGUCUGUUGUUAAAAUGCGGGGCUCAACCCCGUAUUGCGAUGGAAACUGGGUUUCUUGAGUGCAGGAGAGGAAAGGGGAAUUCCCAGUGUAGCGGUGAAAUGCGUAGAUAUUGGGAGGAACACCAGUGGCGAAGGCGCCUUUCUGGACUGUGUCUGACGCUGAGAUGCGAAAGCCAGGGUAGCGAACGGGAUUAGAAACCCCAGUAGUCC
rnacentral:rRNA from 1 species